ACUGUGUUUCCGGUUAAACUGCGCCGCCUCUCGGCCUACCUACACGUGUGCGCCAGUGAACACGCACGCUGACGGCCGUGAAGCACACAUCUACUUUUUCAAGAAAGCAACAGGAGUAUCUGAGCCCAGGACAUGAAGGAGUGAAACACAAGAUGAGCCUAUUAUCACUUUGCUCCAAGUCAUGGAAAAAGAUCAUCUGCUCCACUCUCCAUCAGGGAAGAUCUUCAGCAGCACGAAGUCUCGUUCACCCCGUUAGCCUCUGUACACAGACUAGGACUGAGGUGCCUUGCUGUUACUGUCGCAGAAUAUUCUGCAAGGGCCUCAUACUGGAUCCUGCGCUGUAGCUUUUCACCAAAUCACUACCGCCAUCCAUGUCCAUUUCAGAUGAGUGUGACUUUUUGAUUGCUGGAGGGAAAUCACCAUGCGCAGUGCAGUGGGGAAAAUGAUGUACCAACAGCAAUGUGCUGCCUGAGAGCAAAUGGGAAAUUUAAGCCUCAAAUUUUACAAAGAACAUGUAGCUCCUCCUGCCAUGUUUUGUCAUGAAACUGGAUACAGCCAACU